UGAUGAGCGGAGAGGGAGGCGCCGCGUGCGUGAGAUGAGACCCCUCCCAUCUCGCGGUUGGAGCUUGCGUACGGACCUGAGGGCGUGGAUUCGCAGGCUCGCGGUGGAGUCGCCAGGACCGGUGAUGUGGAGGAAGUCGAGGUUGGAGCGGGAGAGCACCGCGGCGACGGCGUCUGUGCGGUUGCCCGGCUCGACGACGAUCCACACGAGCUGGGCGUCAACGAGGCGGAGGGUAUGCGCCAGAGACGUGAGCGACGGCACCUGGAGCGCGGAGGUGGUGGUCGGGGUGACGGCGAUGACGGGCCUCGCGGGUCCCGCGCCGCGGCGCUUGGUGCUGCGCUGCGCGUUCUGGACGGCGGCGAGGAUGCGGUGCGCCUUGAGGAGCUCGCUGGGGUCCGGGUGGGGCCAGGCGCGGACGCGGAUCGGGUGGCGGCCGACGAAGACGGGGCCGUGGCGGUGGUGGUGGUGGUGCGGGUGGGCGCCGCCGAUGUCGGCGGCCACGGUGGUGGUGGUGGUGGUGACGGUGGUGGUGGUGGUGGUGGUCGUGGUGAUCGUGGCCGUGGCGUUGGCCCCCGCGAGCGCCACGGCGGGCGAGGACACGAGCGAGACGAGGUGCGCGGCGGGGUUGAUGGGCGGGGUGGGCAGGAAGAGGAGGAAGACGAUGAGGCGGGAGAAGCGGAAGCCGACGGCCAUGGAUGUGGCGCAGAAGAGCGCGUGCAGCAGCAGCCACGUGGCCGGCAGCGAGGGCUUGGCCGGCUCCGGCGCCGCGUCGGGCGGCCCCGCCGCCGCAGGCCCCAGGCCCGGCCACAGCGGACGCAGCAGCGGGAGCUUCAUGCCGGCCGAGCCGCGGACAAGGUUCCCCUGCCUCUGCGCUGCGGUUCGCGCGCGCGGGCGUCCUCCGGUGCUGUGGUCUCGCAGUCAGUCAGUCAGUCAGUCACAGCCUACGCGCUAAGCCAGCCAGCGGGCGGUGGC
rnacentral:misc_RNA from 1 species